rnacentral:rRNA from 1 species
GGCUCAGGAUGAACGCUAGCUACAGGCUUAACACAUGCAAGUCGAGGGGCAGCAUUGAGAUAGCUUGCUAUUCAGAUGGCGACCGGCGCACGGGUGAGUAACGCGUAUCCAACCUUCCCUAUAGUAGAGAAUAGCCCGGCGAAAGUCGGAUUAAUGCUCUAUAUGUUCUAUUGAUGGCAUCAGAGAUUGAACAAAGAAUUUCGCUAUAGGAUGGGGAUGCGUCUGAUUAGCUUGUUGGCGGGGUAACGGCCCACCAAGGCAACGAUCAGUAGGGGUUCUGAGAGGAAGGUCCCCCACAUUGGUACUGAGACACGGACCAAACUCCUACGGGAGGCAGCAGUGAGGAAUAUUGGUCAAUGGGCGCAAGCCUGAACCAGCCAAGUAAGCGUGCAGGACGACUGCCCUAUGGGUUGUAAACUGCUUUUAUAGGGGAAUAAAGUGAGGUAUGUAUACCUUUUUGUAUGUACCCUAUGAAUAAGGACCGGCUAAUUCCGUGCCAGCCGCCGC